rnacentral:rRNA from 1 species
UACGUAGGGGGCAAGCGUUGUCCGGAAUUAUUGGGCGUAAAGAGCUCGUAGGCGGCUUGUCACGUCGGGUGUGAAAGCCCGGGGCUUAACCCCGGGUCUGCAUUCGAUACGGGCAGGCUAGAGUGUGGUAGGGGAGAUCGGAAUUCCUGGUGUAGCGGUGAAAUGCGCAGAUAUCAGGAGGAACACCCGUGGCGAAGGCGGAUCUCUGGGCCAUUACUGACGCUGAGAAGCGAAAGCGUGGGGAGCGAACAGG